rnacentral:rRNA from 1 species
AUUGAACGCUGGCGGAAUGCUUUACACAUGCAAGUCGAACGGUAGAGGGGGCAACCCCUUGAGAGUGGCGAACGGGUGAGUAAUAUAUCGGAACGUGCCCAGUCGUGGGGAUAACGUAGCGAAAGUUACGCUAAUACCGCAUACGAUCUAAGGAUGAAAGCGGGGGAUCGCAAGACCUCGCGCGAUUGGAGCGGCCGAUAUCAGAUUAGGUAGUUGGUGGGGUAAAGGCUCACCAAGCCAACGAUCUGUAGCUGGUCUGAGAGGACGACCAGCCACACUGGAACUGAGACACGGUCCAGACUCCUACGGGAGGCAGCAGUGGGGAAUUUUGGACAAUGGGCGCAAGCCUGAUCCAGCAAUGCCGCGUGCAGGAUGAAGGCCUUCGGUU